rnacentral:sRNA from 1 species
AUAGGAGUGAUGAAACCCAUAAAAUUGACUACACAUGAAAUAACCUGUCUCGGCUGAU